UUCUAUAUGCUACUUUUAUUAUUGUCCUGUAAAUGGUUCAGUGCCUAUAAUUUAAGCUGUGUGUAGAAUGGGACAUAAAGGAAAUUACCACUAAUAAUAAAUUACUACUAGAUUAUAGUGAUAAGGAAAACAGCAUACAAAUUUGGCUUGUGUAUUAAUUUGCCUUUAACUAAUCAUAAUUCCAUUAUUUUUACAUAAAAAAAAGAGAACACUUCAAAAUGAGAAGAUCCUGCCAUGGAAAAGAUGACUGUGUGGACAUAAAGUGGAAAGGAAAUAACUCACACCAUGCAGCAGGACACCUUCAGCUGCUGGGUCUUUGUAAUGCAGAUGGCCAAGGAAGUUGCACAGAACUUCCCCAACAUCCCUUCUCAAAUUCAUAUGGAACCUUCAAAAACAUAUGGAGCAACUGCAAAAAGAAAUGGCUGAGGAUAUACUAAAAAUGUCUGGUAUGUAAUGACAUUUAAUUGAAAGUAAAUGUAAAUUCUUUAUUUGUAUGUAGUUGUGUGGGACAGCCAUAUGAUUUCAGAGUUCAACAAAGCCAACAACUGCUUCAUGAGUGCCACUGAUAAAGAACCUGGAUGUGGCCCAAAGACUGACUGGGAAUGAAGACACAAGAGUUCAACAGAGUAAAAAACACAAACUGUCAGUGCUGUCUUUGUUGUAAAUGUAUGCUAUACCCCAUCCACACUGAAGAGGCUCUGAAAUGUACAUCAACCAGGGAUAAAGACAAAGUUAACACUGUGAAAUGCUUCAUACUUAAUUGAAGUUGUAUCU